AUGAUGGACUAUAGGACAGGACUGCUGCUUUUAACUGUCUGCUGGGCAGGUGUUGAUGGUCAGACUCUGACAGAAUCUGAACCAGUGGUUAAAAGGCCUGGAGAAUCCCACAGAUUGACCUGUACAGCCUCUGGAUUCACAUUCAGCAGCUACUGGAUGCACUGGGUCAGGCAGGCUCCUGGAAAAGGACUGGAGUGGAUUGCCAUCAUCAGAUAUGACAGUGGGGAGAUCUACUACUCUCAGUCAGUUCAAGGCCGGUUUACCAUCUCCAGAGACAACAACAGACAGCAGCUGUAUCUGCAGAUGAACAGCCUGAAGACUGAAGAUUCUGCUGUUUAUUAUUGUGCUCGAGACUCACAGUGACUGGAGUUGGUUGAGCAGCUGUACAAAAACCUACAGGACUCAUCCUUCAGGCUGCUUUUUCUUAGUAUUUAUAGUACAUAAUUUAUUCUAUAUGAAUGUAUAUACAGCUUAUCCUGUGUACAGGGUCGCGGGGGGCUGGAGCCAAUCCCAGCUGACAAUGGGCAGGAGUCAUAUCAUGAGAGUGAACAAUAAUAUUAUAUACAUAUAUAAAUAUAUUAUUAUAUAAAUUAUUUUGUAACUAGAGGGCAGUCAGCAUCAUGUUUCCCUCUCCUCUGUUUCUAAAAGGAGACACUCAGAUCUGGUGUUCUCUUUGAUCUUAACUGACUGACACUGGAGCAAAGAUUAACACUCCUGCAUGUACACUGGAUACUGUGAAAGUUGAAACUUUUCUACCCUAAACAAAAGUCAUGCGUUAACUUGAUUCAGCACAUUUUGAACAGUAAAGUUUGACUAUCAGGUGUUUACCAUCA